CAACUCUGACCAACUUGAAAAAUAUUCCUAUACCUGUCGUACAAAGGACUUGCCGUGUGGCUGCCAGCCCUGCACAAUGUCCUUGCCUCCCCUGCUCAACUCUGCGUCUGCGCAGCUGUGUAGCCCCUGCAGGAGCGAGUGAGGUCAAAGGGGGGACAGGAUACCUUGCAGGUUAGGGUUUCUAUUUGUAAUUAAGAAGUUCCUGUUUCUUAGAUGUAAAGCGCAAAACAUUUUUCAACCCACGCUGAACUGCGACUCCAUUCAUAUGGUGUACAUCCUCACGCUCUUGGUCCUUCUCUUUCAUUGUAUUUUUCUAAUAGCCGACUCUCUCGCCCCUGUGAGUACCUUACCUCUCCAUAGAAAUGACCCUCAAGAGGCCAGCAUGAGCUGCUCUCUCAGACCCCGACGUAGGGUGAGGCAGUCGGCUGGCCAGUCCUGGGUGCACCCCAAAUCACAGCUUGCUCUAAUUGGACAGUCGUGGAUUUGGUCUUUUCUCCUCGGUCUUUUCGGGUCUAGCCUGAGCUCUGACACUCAGUGUCCCCAUCCAUCUGAAUAGUAAGCCAGUCUUUGGCUUGUACUGUACUGGUACAAAUAUUCGUCUCCCACAACUUUGGCCUUAGUUUCUACCUAACGCCCAGGCCCCGAUAGCUACCCAGGUGUCCCCUAGAAUUCCAAGGGGCCUCCCCCCAGCUCUCUAGCUCUUCAGAAGCCAGUGCCCCUUGAGGUGCGGCCCUGAGAUGCUGCCUGAUGAGGAGCCCUGUGAAGCCGAGGCUGGGAGCAGAGGGAGCCUAGACCAAGGACUUCUGUUCUGUGCGGCUGUCCGUCUCUUGUCAGAGUCUCAUCGCAGAGGCCCUACUAUGACAACCAGGCCCGUCCCAGAGGAGCCUCCACCUGCUGAUGCUGCCAGAGAGAGGCUGUGGGCUUGUCAGCUUCCCUGUCUUUGCCACAUUAGCUGUUUUGAAGGAAGGGCCACCCCCCUCAGCCCCUCAGCUGCUUCUUUCUGCCCCUGAGCACCCUAACUUCAGCUGUCCUCCCCCCCAGCAGCUUGGGGUCAAGCUCACCAUCUGUGGGCAGCCUGGGGUUCUGAGCCUUCCUGGCCUCCAGAUAGGACAUAGAUCCCAGCCCCCAACCCCCAGGCACCAUGGGCCAACCCUGUAGGGGAGCAGCUUAAUGACCUUGUGAGCAGUAAUUACACCCUAGGGCCCACUGUUAAUAACCAGUAUUCCCCGUCAGUGUGCCUUAAUUGAAAAUGAGUAGGCGACAGGAGUUGCUGUGAAGUUGGCUGGCAAGCCCUUAACGUGAUAUUAAUUGUGGUAAUUAGUAGUCACUUUGUGUUGGAGUCAUCUAUAAAUAGGGGGUCCAUUAGUUUAGCAAAAGAGCAUGAUUUAAAAUGCAAAGAAAAGCCCAAUUAGUCAGCUAAAUCACUCAUCUUUCUGAGCAAAAUCUGACGUUGUGUAGACCAGCAGCCAUUUGAGGGUCUGGUCAGUUCCGGGCCUCUGAACACUGCAACAGCCCAACGGCAACAGCGUCCCUUUAAGUGGACUUAAGUCUCUAGUUCUGUGAUGUUUCCUCCACACUGUUGGCACAGUUAGUGGUCACACUCCCUAGCAGUUCCUCCCUCUGCCUCCUGAUUGGUUUCCUCUAGUGGCACGGGAGUGCGUCUUAAAGGAAGAGUAGCACAGGGCAUGCCAAGACUGGGAGCCUGGGUGGUGGAAAGUGGGCUUCUCUCUUUAAAUGCAGCUCUUGACAGUCCAGCCAGACUGAGCCACCAAUGCCAAGUGUCCUGUGACCCAAACGGACUUUGUGACUUGAGGCACACACUGAAAGUGGACUCAGUAUUCCUCACAGCCUUGGGGUGCAGAGUAAGGGAGCAGCUGGAAGGCCUGAGAAGACUCAACUACAAGGCUGGGGGUGGGGUGGGGGUGCAGCGGUGAGAUUCCCAAUACUUUUGUUUGAGGAAACACAGAGGUGGGGGAGGCUGCUGAGAUGCUACCACCUGGGACACAGGUCAUGCCAGCUGAGGCAAACUCCACCCUUCCCCCACAGUCUGCCUACUCCUCACCCCUCAAAAGGCCACCAUUCCUGUGAGGCCCCCUGAGGUUGCUUUUCCUGAAAUUUGUGUUUUAUCAAGAGAGGCAGCAGCCGUUUCUGAGCAUAGUAAGAAGAGAAGUUGUCCACUCUUCCCCAACUAAGGAGUAGUGAGCUGUCCUUCAUCAGUCUUUCUCCAGUGACUCAGCGUUUGUAACAGGUGGUCGGGCUUGCUAUUCUGAAUGUCCUAUUUGAUAAAAUAAAACAUUGGCAACCCUAUGUUGGUCCCAAAAAUAUCUUUUGCCAGGGAAUGAAAUCCAAGUGUCUGGGGCCGCAGAGCUAAACGGCUGAAUCAGGAACCUGAGGCUGAAUGACUCAUAGCUGUAUGCAUGAAGGGUGAGUGUGCGAUCGCUCAUGGGUGCGUGCAUGCAUCUGCUGGCGGGUGGCUGGUGAAAUAAGGACAUCAUUGUCCAAGAUUCCCCGGGAAGAGAAUUCAGGGUGGCCUGAGGAUUACGCGGAGGCCUGGGGGCCAUCCACCCACGUUGUUGUCUUACCCUUGAGGAGAAACUGAGUCUCAGCCUACUGUCCCAAGCCACACGGUGAGAAGACAGUCCAGGCUCUAGCUAUUGCACACUGGCAGCCUGCCUUCCCAGCCGGAGAGCGUCUCCUGCACAAAGAUUGGAAGAGACAGACGUGAGGAAAAUUGAACCUGCUUGUCUCGCUCCCGAAAAGGGAAAAAACCGGGACAGCUGACAGUGAUUCAGGCCAUACACAAAAUAUGCCGCUUCAGUCAGGCAGUGGGUAUGGUGUACUCGCAUACUAGGGACUAGGGCACUCACCAAACCUGAGCCAGCCUGGUUAAGUUGGGGGAGGGGGCAGGGAGGCAGGGGAAGGGAGCAAACAAAGAAGACACCAGAGCUGAAGCUAGAAAACCCUGAAGAAAACAAGGGAAGUCUCCGUGUUGUCUGCUGCUCCGAUCUGGAAGGUUCCGCAAAGGCCAAUGUGUUAAAAGCUUGGUCCCCAGCUUGCCACCAGCCCUGGAGGUGUGCAGCCAUCUUGGUCACAGGGGGAAUUGUUUUACACACAUGCUCCCACUAUUAUGAGCUGUCCAUCCCAACAGAGGUCUAAAGCCAAUGAGCCCACCCAGAGGUUCCAGCCUCUGUAGUGUAGGCUUAAAACAUUUCUUUGAGACGUUUUUGCACAGUCAGGCCAGACUUGAAUUCCUUACCUUCCUCCUCAACCUCCUGAGUACAGGAUUUAUAGAAUUAUACCAUCAUAUUCGACUCUAAAACUUGAUAACUCGGUUGUACUAGGUAUUUGUUGUGGCAGGAAUAAAGCUGACAGCUUCAGCUCUGGUGACAGAAUCUCUGCUGCAAUAAUGGCACAAGCAACGAAGAAAAAAGACCAAGUGAACCGUGGGACUCAGAGCAUGCGAGCUUGAAAGACUCAAGAGUGUGAAGACACCGUGCGGAAGAGGUGGCCUAGCUGCGAAUUACACAUCUAGCAGCGGACUCCAUCUGACAAAGGACUCAAGACUCAGAAAAGACAAAAGAGACAGAAGAUAACGAGCAGAAAGCUCUCUAGCAACCAAAUGGCCGGCCAGUAAGAACACGAGCAGGUGUGAAGCCGCAUUAGCUUCCAGGGAAGUGAAAUCAAAGCCUGCGGAGAGAUCCCCUUCCACUAGGAUGGUGCAAUUCCAAAAGUUCUAGAAGUGUCGGUGAGGAAGAAGGGUCUGAACCCCGCUCCUGCUCCUCAGUGAAUACCGACCACACCUCUCCAAACGCCAACUGGAGCGGUUCAUUGCCGCAGGCCACAAUGCUGGGGUUUUCUCUAUGCCUCCUUGUGAAGCCAGCAGCAAUAAAGAGCACUAAAGACACCUCCACUUUGUCCCCCGCUGCGUACUACACCAUCAAUAACUGUGCCUUGUGGGAGUUUUGAUGACCUGCUAGACCUGCACAGUGCAUCCAGUUGUCAAGGAUUUCUAUGGUCUCUGAUGAUAUCAUGGAGUUCGUCCAGGAAAUAGGAAAUGAGAGGCUGUGGAUUCAAUUCUGUGGACAGAAAUUCAUUCUGUGGAUAGGUUUUGAUCAAGGAAGACCCCCAGAAAAAUUUUCAAUGAGAACAGAUGGCUCAGAUUCACCAACGUCUCAGAGCACCUCUGUUGCAGUUUCUUCUGAGUUCUGCAUCCAGAACAGCUUCAAGGCUGCUGGCUGAGAUGAUCAAGCCUCAAAGAAUACUCCAGUCAGGA